rnacentral:lncRNA from 1 species
UUGAAUCGUGGAACGUGAUGGGGCUGCUUUAAUAACUGCUUUGAUAACUGCACUUCUUGAUAACCACGACACUUUAUGUUUGUUAAGACCUUGGGCGACUUGAAGGUUUGGGCGAGAAUAGAGUAACAGCUCUGGGCGACUGUAUGACACUCCAUUCGCUCAGAUCCUGGGCGACUUGCAAAUUUGGGCGAUGGCGUUACC